GUGUUCAUUAUAUGAGAGGAUAUGUACUCUGACUUUAUGUUAUGCUUUGUCAUCCCCACAGAAGGGAUCUACGGAGACUCGGUGAACCAAACGGAAGGAAUCGUCAUGGUAUCCCAGGGGGACCCCGUGCUUCUGAACUGCACCUAUGAGUUUCCUGGGUACCCUUCCCCCUUCUGGUAUGUGCAGGACCCCAACGAGCCCCUAACGCUCUUCCUGAGGGAUGUGGGAAGGGGGGGCGCGGAUGAGGGUGCCAGGAGAGGAUUCAGCGCUAAAGCCGAGAGGAAAACAGCAUCCUUCCACCUGUGGAAACCAUCCAGCGAACUGGGCGACUCCGCGACCUAUUACUGCGCCGCGAGCGACACAGUGACACGGAGCAGCACGUGAGCUGCGCAAAAAGCGGACAGGGUCUCUGCGGAGCAGUGGAGAUGCGGGCACCCGGGUCUGGGGGCGACUGGGUGGCAGAAGGGGGAAAAUGUGCAAUCACUGAACUUGGAACAGAAAUAUUUCUCUCUCUCUGUAUCGGUCUCUGUGUUUUCCUUCUUUGCUUUAAUCCGGAGUGUUGCCAUCUCAGAAAUGGAGGUGAAUGUCGUGAAUCUCCCAGUAAGGUAAAAUCACAAAAGAUCAGAACACAUCCACCCUCUCAUGAGCAACUCUGGUGAAAGCUGCCCCCAGCCCUGUUCUCGAAGGAAUGUGCAAUCGGACAGUUCAAUGUCACUGAAACUAAACCAAUAAACACAAGAAAUCUGCCAUAAUCACGGUGGAAAAGUUCGCAUUUUAUAGGAGAACUGGCACUGUGCAGUUCAGAAAUCUUCACCCGCCCUGUAUACACAGACAGACAGAGACUUUAGAAGACCGUCCUGACCUGUUGUGUCAGUAAAAUGCUCACUAGCUCUGUGAGAAAGGCUGGUUUACGGGCAAAGGUGUAAGAAAAUCUCCUGGAACCAUUCCCCAUGUGUGAACACAUUUUACCACGCGGGGGCGGUGUGGUGCUAGAUAAACAAUACAAGGAACAGCCCGUUCUUCUGCCCCCUGGUCUCUGCCCGCCCCUGACGCCAGUCUAGCCCCUUUUGCCCUUCAGACUCUCCUGUUUCUGACGGCACCAUUGAGGAGGAUUUACAGAGCAGAGAGGCUCACUCGUGUGAAGCUGGGUUUAUGUUAUUCUGACAGCUCCUGCUCAGAGAUACAACAUUCAUUUUCAGGCACAUUUAAUGUACCUAGGACAGAAUUCUUGCCUUCUCUAAAUUGUACCUACUAGACACGAAGGCAGAUCAAUUGUUCCGGGAUUAGGAAAUUAGCUCGGUUUAGUCAAAGAAUCAUUCAACCCAAGGAUGGCUCCAACUUGGUUCUCCGGUGUUAUAGUCACGGUAGCUAUUCUAGAAAGCACCUAUGGAGCGGACUCAGUGACCCAAACUGACGGCAGCGUUUUCAUCUCCCAAGGGGACCCGGUGCUUCUUAACUGCACAUAUCAGGUUUCUGGGUUUCCUUACCCCGUCUGGUACGUGCAAUAUCCCAACCAGGCCCUCAGACUCUUCCUGAGGGACCUGGGACCGGAGGACUCGGAUGAAGGGAUCACUAAAGGGUUCAAUGCCUCCCACGAUAAAAAGCACAAAUCCUUCCACCUGUGGAAACCGUCCAGCGAACUGAGCGAUUCCGCGACCUAUUACUGCGCCGCGAGCAACACAGUGACACGAAGCAGCGGGGAGCUGCGCAAAAACCGGGCAGGGUCUGUGCGGAGCAGCAGGGAUACGGGCACCGGGGUCUGGGGGCGACUCAGGGGCGGGGAAGUCUGCAAAUACUGAACUUGGAACAGAAAUCUUUCUCUCUUUCUUUCCCCUAAUCCGGAGUUGAACCACCUAGUGAACGAUGGUGAAUGCCAUGAAUCACGCAUUAAGGUAAAAUCAGGAAAGAUC